CAGCAGCCGCGGUAAUACGAAGGGGGCUAGCGUUGUUCGGAUUUACUGGGCGUAAAGCGCACGUAGGCGGACUUUUAAGUCAGGGGUGAAAUCCCGGGGCUCAACCCCGGAACUGCCUUUGAUACUGGAAGUCUUGAGUAUGGUAGAGGUGAGUGGAAUUCCGAGUGUAGAGGUGAAAUUCGUAGAUAUUCGGAGGAACACCAGUGGCGAAGGCGGCUCACUGGACCAUUACUGACGCUGAGGUGCGAAAGCGUGGGGAGCAAACAGGAUUAGAUACCCCUGUAGUCCCUGUCUCUUAUAU
rnacentral:rRNA from 1 species